UACAGUGGAAACUCCCAUUUACUUCAUUUACUGCCAUUUAUAAUAUUUUCCACUAUUUGUAGAUAAUGAAUUCAUCCUUUUUUUUUCUUUUUUGUCAAAACUUAUGCAGGCCACUCCAAAAGCCAAAAAUGUUCCAAAAUCUUACUCGAAUGUGUUCCCCUUCGUUUUCUCUGAUAGCUUUAAUGGUUUCUUUGGAAUUGCCACAAUAUCAACCAAAUUAACAAUGCUGAGCAAUAAAAAUUGUUACCUUCAUUCCUGAGUGCCAAGGGGCCUUUUGAAUGAGGAUGCUUAAAGAAGAGAGGUUAAUUAAAGUCACUCCCAGAAAAAUAACCACCCACCACAAAAAGUUUCUCCCCAGCCCAGUCUAGCUCUGCAGAAGGAUAUUAAGCAGGAGUCUUAGCAGGAGAUCAAAAGGAGAAAAGGAAUAUUCCAGGCUUACUUUAUUUCAAAUGAUGACAUGUUUCUGAGGACCCACCAUAUCACAU
rnacentral:lncRNA from 1 species